rnacentral:rRNA from 1 species
GACGAAGGUGGCGAGCGUUGUUCGGAAUCACUGGGCCUAAAGCGCACGUAGGCGGCGGCGUAAGUCGGGUGUGAAAUCCCUCGGCCCAACCGAGGAACUGCGCCCGAUACUGCGUUGCUUGAGGAUCAGAGGGGUGCACGGAAUUUCCGGUGGAGCGGUGAAAUGCGUUGAUAUCGGAAGGAACGUCGGCGGCGAAAGCGGUGCACUGGCUGAUUUCUGACGCUGAGGUGCGAAAGCCAGGGGAGCAAACGGG